CCUACGGGUGGCAGCAGUGAGGAAUAUUGGUCAAUGGGCUUACGCCUGAACCAGCCAAGUCGCGUGAGGGAAGACUGCCCUAUGGGUUGUAAACCUCUUUUGUCAGGGGGCAACGCCGGCUACGUGUAGCCUGACUGAUAGUAGCUGAAUACAAAGCAUCGACUAACUCCGUGCCAGCAGCCGCGGGAAUACGGAGGGUGCGAGCGUUCGCCGGAUUUAUUGGGUUUAAGGGGUGCGUAGGCGGAAUGCCAAGUCAGCGGUAAAAUCGCGGGGCUCAACCUCGCUCCGCCGUUGAAACUGGCGCUCUUGAGUGGGUGAGAAGUAUGCGGAAUGCGAGGUGUAGCGGUGAAAUGCAUAGAGAUGACGCAGAACUCCGAUUGCGAAGGCAGCAUACCGGCGACGUACUGACGCUGAAGCACGAAAGCGUGGGUAGCGAACAGGAUUAGAUACCCGGGUAGUC
rnacentral:rRNA from 1 species